rnacentral:lncRNA from 1 species
CGGGGCCAUCUUUGUUCCCAUUGCUGUUCCAUUAACUUGGAGGAAGUGUUCGCCAUUAAAUACGAAGUUAUUGCAUUUCAAUACCAAAGUUAGAAGCUGGAUGAGACAUUCAGUUGGUGGAUGUAAGGUGUUACGAGAGUUCCAGACUUCCCUACAGGCUUCAAUACCAUCGUCAUGGGGGAUGUUAGUAUAGAGGGAGGUAACAUCAAGCGAAACAAGGAUCGUUUCAGGUGGGAGAGGGUUCAGAGAUUCCAUUUUCUUAAGAUAGUGUGUUGUGUCUUGUAUAUAGGAUGGUAAAUUUUCUACAUGUGGUCUCAGAUGAAAGUCAAUAAAUUCUGAUAUUUUCUCUGUAGGGUGGUCAUUGGCGGAAACAAUUGGUCUACCGGGAUUAUUAACUUUAUGAAUUUUAGGCAGAAGAUAGAAACGCCCGGGCUUUGAUUUUUCAGGUUUUAGGUAUUUAAAUGUGUCUUCAUCAAUAUGCCCCUGUUCACACAUGUUUUUCAGGUUUGUUGUGAUCUCUUUGUUGAACUGAGGGGUGGGGUCAGUGUCUAAUUUCUUAUAAAAUCUCUCAUCAGAGAGUUGACGUUCUGCCUCUUGAAUGUAGUCACAUUUGUCCAUGACGACAACAGCGCUACCUUUAUCAGCUGGUUUAAUUAU